AAAAUAAACCAUUAUUGAUGCUAAAUUGGAUCAAAAGCAAUAUAAUCUAUAUUAAUGAAAUUAUUGACGAAAACGGUCAAAUCAACGAAAAGACAAUACUGCGUAAGCUAGAAAUAAAACACAACUGGAUAGCCGAACUAUCAAUACUAAAAAAGCUAUUCCAAAAUGUUGGAUAGAUAUCCUGAAAACAAAUAAAUCUGUUAAAACCCGAGUUAGUAUUAACGAAAAAAUAAUCAGAAUGAAUGAAACAGAAAUAAAUUUAGAAGAUCUUGAUAACAAAAUCGUCUAUCAAUAUUUUAUAAAAAAUUAAAAUAACUCCAAACAUUGGAAUAAUAAAA
rnacentral:lncRNA from 1 species